rnacentral:lncRNA from 1 species
AAGAAUAAAAAUCCAAAUAUAUAAAAACCUCUUAAGAGAAACUACAUGUAAUUUGUUCGACAGAGAUCAAUGAAUUUUGUCUAAAAUGCUUUAAGAACUACUUUUAAUUUAUGCUUCUUGUGAAAAGAUUGUUACAUAAAUUACAAGUCUUCUCUGUAUCGUAUGUGUCCAAAGGGACCUAAACUUUUCUAUUUGUUUAUAACAAGGUUAAAAAAACGCUUUGUUUAUACCAUAUUUAGGGUCUCGUAUUUAGACCUCGUAUAAAUACUCGAGGGACUUAAAUGUAAUUAUGUGGUAAAGGAAAUGGCAAAUAUGUAAUAAGUGAGGAGUCCUUAUUCUAUAAAAGGACCCCUCACCCUCACAAUUAGGAGAGGCCAAUUCCUAGGCUCUCUCACCCCUCUCACAUCCCCUUUUAUAUUCAGAGGUUCUCUCCCUCACAUCUCAGAUAAAUACAAUAAUCAGUGUGGACGUAGUCCAAACCUUGGGGUGAAUCACGAUACAUCUUGUGUUAUUUAUAUUUCUGCAGAUUCAUGGUCGGAUUUACGUUGUUCCAAGACCUCCGAUUUUGUACAUCAACACGCUUCAUAUAUAAUACAAAAGCAAUGCAACCCCAAACAAACUAUAGAAUAUGCUAACAAAUUUAAUUUUCAAAAGAAUUACUAGUCCAUCAUGCACGAAUUCAGGAUUUGAAAACAUGACUACAUUUGCCGAAUUGUUCAAAUUCAUAGCCACCAAAAUGGAAGAAGACAUUAGUAUCUAUGUAAGAUCUCAUGUAUUGGGCUUUUCCUCGCAGUCAGAAUGGUUGGGAAUAUAUGUAAAUCCGUAAAUAUUUGAAAUUCGUAGAUUAGACAUCAUAUUUAAACACAACCUCUAAUUCCUACAUUCCUAUAUCAGAAUUUAGGAACAAGAAAAAUAAGAGUACAAAAUAAUAAGGAAGAGACAAAAACAAACAGAAAGAAGAAGUGGAAGAGGAAAAGCUUCAGGAAAGAAGAAAGAAGAAAGAAAUAUGAGAGAAGAAGAAACAAGAGUGCAGAAACAUUAAGAGCAGAAAAGAAGAUCUGCACCCCGAAACAAAAUGUGGUCCUGUUUUUCUUUUUGCGUGGUUUAGGCUUAAGCCUAUAUAUGGGUGGUUAUAUUUCUACCUAAUUUUUGGUUGGUUUAUAGCUUAUCCG